GGAACUGUGCCUGAAAGUAAAGGGCCACUUUGAUAGAGUGGAUCAUGAAGAUUAAACUCCUUCCAGCUCCU
rnacentral:tRNA from 1 species